rnacentral:sRNA from 1 species
GAUAGUUCAUAACGUUUUCCUAUGAAAGAAUAAUAUAUAUAUAUAUUUUUUUUUGUAAGUCUGAACUUUUCUUUUUAGAUGCUUUCACUUUAAGUCGAACUGCUACAACUGAGCACAAUCAGAAUGGCAGCUUGAGUUUAACUUCACAAAGAUCGCAAAGACCUGGGCUUGAUCUUUAUGAAACGAGAGUAAAUCCAAUUGGCCGACUCGAUUUCUAUCAAAGGUGAACGAGCUAGCUGCAAUUAUAUAGAAUCUACCUUAAUUCGCAAAUGGGGGGCGCAUCAAGAGGGCACAGAGACAACCGUAAUUCUUACAAGCUGCGAGCUACUGAUACCUGAAGAAGAAGAAGAA